GGCAGGUAUACUGUUCCAAUGCCCUGGGAUCUCUGUAGUGGUCGGUACUGUAUUGAUUAUAAAUGGUGAAGUCCUAGUAUCUUGCUAGAGUGAGCUGGCCAGGAUGGUGGAGCUCUACCACCAUUUCACAGGUUAUAGACAGGGGCCCCCAGGUUUCAGGAAAGCAGCAAUGACCCCUCAGUAAUAGUUGGAAAGUGUGAUAUGACACUGAGCUUCACUGUGUUGGUGAAGAAGAGUUGCAGUUUGCCUCCACCUCUGAAGAAGCACAAUAUACCUUUCUGGGUUACCCAUGGGAUACUUCCCAACAGCUUUGUCAUCACAUACAAUAUUUGCAAACAAGAUCUUAAUGGCAU
rnacentral:lncRNA from 1 species